UGUGUUUGUAAUCACAAAGAGAAUGUGAUUGAUAGACCUUUCAAUUAAAGGAAAAUUUUUCAGGGUUUUCCCUGGUGAUUCAGUUGGUAAAGAGUCCGCCUGGACUACAGGAGACCCAGGUUCAGUUCCUGGGAGGGGAAGAUCCCCUGCAGAAGGGAAUGGCUACCCACUCCAGUGUUCUUGCCUGGAGAAUCCCAUGGACAGAGGAGCCUGGCAGGCUACAGUCCAUGGGGUCGCAAAGAGUCGGGCAUGACUUAGCAACUAAACCACCAAAAAGAAAUUAAUGAUCACACCGUAAGCGGCAAAAAUCAUGCAACAAUUUUUAUAGUAAGCACGUUUUCUAGUUAGGAUGAAAUAUAAUUGUUGGGCUUUUGCAAAUAGAUGUACUAUUUUUAAUUUAAUUCAUAAUCAAUCUGAUAUUAAAUCUUUGUUUUUAGGGAAUUUAUUCUUACUUUGAGAGAGUGAAAGUCAGCAUUUUAAGAGCCUAAAGGAUUCUUGAUUAGGAAGCUUACAGCAGAAGUUUAUUCGGUUGAGGGAAUAUCUCUACCAGCCUCAGCUCUGGCCAGUGUGUGUAAGGACCUGACUCCUCUAACACUUGGAGCUCCUAGAAGUUGAAUCUGUGUGUUACACCCCCUUGUGACCUAACUGGGUACCUCCUCAGAUGGACAUGGUUUGCUCUGACAUCCACACAUUCUUUGCUUCUACCCAGGGUGAGACCCAUCACGUUCUGCGAGGAGAGUUUUCGUAAAGCACCGUUCAAGUCUCAUGAAACAGUUCUUGGAAAACCGCAGUCAACCUCCAGCUGUUUAAGCAGGGAACUCGAAGUCAUACCAGCAAUGGGUGCAUACAGUCAAAAGGAGGUGCACUGUUCAACACAGCAAUGACCAAAGCAAGCCCUGCUGUACGAACAGCAUAUAAAUUUGUAAGUUCUCUUUUGAUGUUUAAGAAUUCUGUUGAUAAAAUUUUAUAACAUUUUCUUAGAUGAUACGCACUUA
rnacentral:lncRNA from 1 species